rnacentral:tRNA from 2 species
GGUAAAAUGGCUGAGUAAAGCAUUAGACUGUAAAUCUAAGGACAGAGGUGGAACCUCUUUUUGCCA